rnacentral:lncRNA from 1 species
CUUUGCUGUUUGCUUUUUCAGAUCUCUGCCAUGGAUGACUUCUGCCUCUUCUUCCAGCAGGACAUGGAUGUGGCAGCUGCUGAGGCUCUGCACAAGUGGGAAGGAAAUAAAUGUGGGGAUGUAUGUAGUUGCAGCUUCACAGGCUGCCAUCGUGGCAUUGUAAAGUAACUCUAGUUGAGUUUUAGUGGCAGCUACUCCAGAAACCAGACUUGUGACAGCUUCAUGGAUUUUACUCAGUAAUUUAUGUUGUGCUUUGUAAAGCUGCAGACCACUGGAGCUACUGCAGG